rnacentral:lncRNA from 1 species
GGCAGAGUCAAGAGGAAGCUGGCCUGCAAGACCUAACGGGACUGAGCAUCUCACCUUAACUCUGAUCCUCAAGCCUCUUCAGGACUCUCCAGGGAGUUUUCCUCCUUUAACCUGUGGCUUCCCCAAACAUUACCUGGCUGGCUGUUUAGACCUUCUGUUCUAGCCCCUCCUUGCUCGAGCUUCACACACACCAACAUCUGCCAGAUCAGGAAGAUGGCCAGUGCUUCCUGCCCCUAAAUUUUCCACUUCCAUUGUUG